GCCCUCACGUGACCCGGAGCUGCAGAGCGACGCAGCCUUGGGUGCAGUCGUCACUCGCGUCUGGCUAGCAGCUCCCCGCCGCCCAGCGCACGGCGGGCUGGCAUCGGGCCCGGGGAAAGCGGAGCAGUUUGAUGUGGCACUGUUUGUGGUGAGGCGAGGGAAGAAGAGAAAACCGCACGGAAUCUAUGGAGGUCUUCACAUAAGCUUGCAGUAGGGCUGUUUGCCACUGGAAAUAAGGGAAAGAGGGCAAGACCAGCCUGGAACUAUAGAGGUU